UUGCGGUGAGCUAGCUUUGUACAAGGUGUUUCUCUGUGCGUGUACUGAAGCGGGUGCUACGGAGUUUCAUUUGUAUGAAACUCUAUGCUAAGAAGUAUGUGCACAGUGUCAAGCUUCAGUGCGACACGAUCGACUGUCGGCAAUAGUUGCCCAGCAUUACGCAUGGCUUGCAGUGAUGCCGCCGCCGACGAAAUUGCGGACGCUUUCCUCGCCAUCGAACAGCAGCAAAGCGAACUGCUCUCCCACAUUCCGUACGGCUCCAAAGUUUCCCACGUGUACAAUCCCCUGGAAUACGCCCGCGAAACGCACGAGUGCUACGUGCGUAAAUACUGCAGGACCAGAAAGACCGUGCUGUUUCUUGGCAUGAACCCUGGCCCCUUCGGCAUGGCCCAGAACGGGGUGCCAUUUGGCGAUACUGCACACGUCGUUGGUUGGCUGGGGAUCCAAGGCCACGUAGCCAAGCCAAAGCAUGAGCAUCCUCGAAGGCCCGUGUUGGGCCUUGGCUGCACCAGAAGUGAGGCAGGUAGUCCUUCCUCAGAACAAAGUUGAACUUGUUGGUGAGCGGCCAUCGCUUCUGGGGCCUUCUUCGGGAGAUCACUGGUGGUGGGGAGCUGCUUCGAGGUCCCUGGUUUGUGCACAACUACUGUCCCCUCGCGUUCCUGCUGCCAUCCGGUGCCAACCUGACACCCAACAAGCUACGCCUCGAAUCCCGCCAGCAUCUUCAGGCAUGACAUGCAGUUUAUGCUUGCUGUACAAGUCUUUUUGACACAGUGGUAGCCCAAUAGCUGUAGCCACUGCAACAAACAGAGGAGGUUUCAGCAGACAUUUUUAGCUGUGGCAGAUGCAUUCUCUUAAUGAUCAGCUACAAAAACAGGUGAAAACUCAUCCAGUGGGCACAUGGACAGGCAAGAACCAAGAGGCUCAUGAAUUGAGGGCUUUGCCCAAAGAAAAUGUUUAUAGCUCAAAAAUUCUUUCUUCUAGUGCUGGUUUGCUUGUCCAAGUCUUUCAUUAAAUGAAAUGUCAAGUCGUUCAC
rnacentral:misc_RNA from 1 species